rnacentral:rRNA from 1 species
UCCAGACUCCUACGGGAGGCAGCAGUGGGGGAUAUUGCACAAUGGGGGGAACCCUGAUGCAGCGACGCCGCGUGGGUGAAGGAGCGUUUCGGCGCGUAAAGCCCUAUCGGCAGGGAAGAAGGAGGACGGUACCUGACUAAGAAGCCCCGGCUAACUACGUGCCAGCAGCCGCGGUAAUACGUAGGGGGCAAGCGUUAUCCGGAUUUACUGGGUGUAAAGGGGGCGCAGACGGCAGCGCAAGCCAGGAGUGAAAGCCCGGGGCCCAACCCCGGGACUGCUCUUGGAACUGCGCGGCUGGAGUGCAGGAGGGGCAGGCGGAAUUCCUGGUGUAGCGGUGAAAUGCGUAGAUAUCAGGAGGAACACCGGUGGCGAAGGCGGCCUGCUGGACUGCAACUGACGUUGAGGCCCGAAAGCGUGGGGAGCAAACAGGAUUAGAUACCCCAGUAAC